AGUGAACGCUGGCGGUAGGCCUAACACAUGCAAGUCGAACGGCAGCACAGGAGAGCUUGCUCUCUGGGUGGCGAGUGGCGGACGGGUGAGGAAUACAUCGGAAUCUACUCUGUCGUGGGGGAUAACGUAGGGAAACUUACGCUAAUACCGCAUACGACCUACGGGUGAAAGCAUGGGACCUUCGGGCCUUGCGCGAUUGAAUGAGCCGAUGUCGGAUUAGCUAGUUGGCGGGGUAAAGGCCCACCAAGGCGACGAGCCGUAGCUGGUCUGAGAGGAUGAUCAGCCACACUGGAACUGAGACACGGUCCAGACUCCUACGGGAGGCAGCAGUGGGGAAUAUUGGACAAUGGGCGCAAGCCUGAUCCAGCCAUACCGCGUGGGUGAAGAAGGCCUUCGGGUUGUAAAGCCCUUUUGUUGGGAAAGAAAUCCAGCCGGCUAAUACCCGGUUGGGAUGACGGUACCCAAAGAAUAAGCACCGGCUAACUUCGUGCCAGCCGCCGCGGUAA
rnacentral:rRNA from 1 species